rnacentral:ncRNA from 1 species
AAUAAAGUGAUGACCAGGAACGAGUAAUAACAGGAUGAUCUUUACAGAGAGCUUUCGGUAGGUGCGAGGAAGCAAGACGUCGUUAUGAAUACAUCCUGAGAGCUGCUCACCGAAAGGCACUGCCCGGUAGGCUGAGCCGGAUACCAACCGUUACCGUGGUUAAGUGACUUUAGGUUGCUUUCAGAGUGUGAUGCAUGCGCAUCAAAGGCAAGGUGGUACCGCGAAUUUGUGUUCGUCCCUGUU